UGAAAGCUAUUCAUUUCCGAGAACAUGCCACGUGUUUCGCAACUAAAAAUGGUAUCAAAGUAACAGUGGAAAAUGCAAAGUGUGUGCAAGCAAAUGCUUUUAUUCAGGGGCAUGGUAUGGUGGCUCACACCUGUAAUUUGCUCAGGAGACCGAGGCUGAAGCACGAAGAUCGCUCGAGCUCAGGCAUUAAAGACCAGCCUGGGUAAUCAUAGUGAGACCCCCGUAUCAAUAAAAAAUCAUAAUAAAAGUUGAAACUAA
rnacentral:sRNA from 1 species